AGCUCCAAUAGCGUAUAUUAAAGUUGUUGCAGUUAAAAAGCUCGUAGUUGGAUUUGUGGUGUGUCCAGUCGGCCUUUGCUCUCUGAGUGAUUGCGCUGCACUGGUCUGCCAUGUUUGGGUGGAAUCUGUGUGGCAUUAAGUUGUCGUGCAGGGGAUGCCCAUCGUUUACUGUGAAAAAAUUAGAGUGUUCAAAGCAGGCUUAUGCCGUUGAAUAUAUUAGCAUGGAAUAAUGAUAUAGGACCUUGGUACUAUUUUGUUGGUUUGCGCACUAAGGUAAUGAUUAAGAGGGACAGUUGGGGGUAUUUGUAUUCCAUUGUCAGAGGUGAAAUUCUUGGAUUUUUGGAAGACAAACUACUGCGAAAGCAUUUACCAAGGAUGUUU
rnacentral:rRNA from 1 species